rnacentral:rRNA from 1 species
UACAGAGGGUGCGAGCGUUGUCCGGAAUCACUGGGCGUAAAGGGCGCGUAGGUGGUUGGGGAAGCGUGUGGUGAAAGCCCGGGGCUCAACCCCGGGUCGGCCAUGCGAACUGCCCGACUGGAGCACGGUAGAGGCCAAUGGAAUUCCGGGUGUAGCGGUGGAAUGCGUAGAGAUCCGGAAGAACACCGGUGGCGAAGGCGGUUGGCUGGGCCGUGGCUGACACUGAGGCGCGACAGCGUGGGGAGCAAACGGG